UCGACGAACUUGGUAUUGAUUGGUGCUUGCAUCAUGAUUUACAUUNGAGUGAGUGGCGAACUGGUGAGUAACACGUGGGAAACCUGCCCAGAAGCGGGGGAUAACACCUGGAAACAGAUGCUAAUACCGCAUAACAACUUGGACCGCAUGGUCCGAGCUUGAAAGAUGGCUUCGGCUAUCACUUUUGGAUGGUCCCGCGGCGUAUUAGCUAGAUGGUGGGGUAACGGCUCACCAUGGCAAUGAUACGUAGCCGACCUGAGAGGGUAAUCGGCCACAUUGGGACUGAGACACGGCCCAAACUCCUACGGGAGGCAGCAGUAGGGAAUCUUCCACAAUGGACGAAAGUCUGAUGGAGCAACGCCGCGUGAGUGAAGAAGGGUUUCGGCUCGUAAAACUCUGUUGUUAAAGAAAAACAUAUCUGAGAGUAACUGUUCAGGUAUUGACGGUAUUUAACCAGAAAGCCACGGCUAACUACGUGCCAGCAGCCGNGGUAAUACGUAGGUGGCAAGCGUUGUCCGGAUUUAUUGG
rnacentral:rRNA from 2 species